GUUCCCUACCUGGCCUUGAAACCCAAAGAGGAGCCGGAGAUUGGUCAGAGGCAGUACCUGUACCUAAGGCAGGGUCACUUGGCUGGAUGGUUGGUUUGUGAUGCAAAAUGAUGCCAACAGUGUGCGUUCAUUUCCUGCUUUGGCUGAGGCUACCAGGAAGGAUUCUUCUUCUCAACGUCUCCUCUCAUGUGAGGUGUGUAGACCCUCAGGUUAAACCAUCACCUCUCUAUCUCUCUAAUGAGGAGCAGCACUUCAAAAGCUUGUGAUUUCAAAUAAACCUGUUGAACUAUA